UUUGAAAUCUGGCCUUCGGGUCCGAGUUGUAAUUUGUAGAGGAUGCUUUUGGUGCGGUACCUUCCGAGUUCCUUGGAACAGGACGCCUUAGAGGGUGAGAGCCCCGUACGGUUGGAUACCAAGCCUCUGUAAAGCUCCUUCGACGAGUCGAGUAGUUUGGGAAUGCUGCUCUAAAUGGGAGGUAAAUUUCUUCUAAAGCUAAAUACCGGCCAGAGACCGAUAGCGCACAAGUAGAGUGAUCGAAAGAUGAAAAGUACUUUGAAAAGAGGGUUAAAUAGCACGUGAAAUUGUUGAAAGGGAAGCGUUUAUGACCAGACCUUUGCCUGGCGGAUCAUCCGGUGUUCUUCACCGGUGCACUUCGCCUGGCUUAGGCCAGCAUCGAUUUUUGUUAGGGGACAAAGACCGCGGGAACGUGGCUCCCUCCGGGGAGUGUUAUAGCCCGCGGUGUAAUACCCUUACGGGGAUCGAGGUUCGCGCUCUGCAAGGAUGCUGGCAUAAUGGUCAUCAACGACCCGUCUUGAAACACGGACCAAGGAGUCGAACAUUUAUGCGAGUGUUUGGGUGUUAAACCCUCACGCGUAAUGAAAGUGAACGGAGGUGAGAGCCCUUUCGGGUGCAUCAUCGACCGAUCCUGAUGUCUUCGGAUGGAUUUGA
rnacentral:rRNA from 1 species